rnacentral:rRNA from 1 species
UACAGAGGUGGCAAGCGUUGUUCGGAAUUACUGGGCGUAAAGGGCGCGUAGGCGGCCCGUCAAGUCCCGUGUGAAAGCCCCCGGCUCAACCGGGGAACGGCGCGGGAAACUAGCAGGCUUGAGUUCGGGAGAGGGAAGCGGAAUUCCGGGUGUAGCGGUGAAAUGCGCAGAUAUCCGGAGGAACACCGGUGGCGAAGGCGGCUUCCUGGAUCGACACUGACGCUGAGGCGCGAAAGCUAGGGGAGCAAACGGG